rnacentral:rRNA from 1 species
CCUACGGGAGGCAGCAGUGAGGAAUAUUGGUCAAUGGACGGAAGUCUGAACCAGCCAUGCCGCGUGCAGGAAGACUGCUCUAUGAGUUGUAAACUGCUUUUGUACAAGGGUAAACCUGAAUACGUGUAUUCAGCUGAAAGUACUUUACGAAUAAGGAUCGGCUAACUCCGUGCCAGCAGCCGCGGUAAUACGGAGGAUCCAAGCGUUAUCCGGAUUUAUUGGGUUUAAAGGGUGCGUAGGCGGAUUGAUAAGUUAGAGGUGAAAUGUCCGAGCUUAACUCGGGAACUGCCUCUAAUACUGUUGGUCUAGAGAGUAGAUGCGGUAGGCGGAAUGUAUGGGGUAGCGGUGAAAUGCUUAGAGAUCAUACAGAACACCGAUUGCGAAGGCAGCUUACCAAUCUAUAUCUGACGUUGAGGCACGAAAGCGUGGGGAGCAAACAGGAUUAGAUACCCCAGUAGUC